AGAGUUUGAUCCUGGCUCAGAUUGAACGCUGGCGGCAUGCUUUACACAUGCAAGUCGAACGGCAGCGGGGGCUUCGGCCUGCCGGCGAGUGGCGAACGGGUGAGUAAUACAUCGGAACGUGUCCUUAAGUGGGGAAUAACGCAUCGAAAGAUGUGCUAAUACCGCAUAUCUCUCAGGAGGAAAGCAGGGGAUCGAAAGACCUUGCGCUAAAGGAGCGGCUGAUGUCUGAUUAGCUAGUUGGUGGGGUAAAGGCUUACCAAGGCAACGAUCAGUAGCUGGUCUGAGAGGACGACCAGCCACACUGGGACUGAGACACGGCCCAGACUCCUACGGGAGGCAGCAGAGGGGAAUUUUGGACAAUGGGCGAAAGCCUGAUCCAGCCAUGCCGCGUGAGUGAAGAAGGCCUUCGGGUUGUAAAGCUCUUUUAGUCGGAAAGAAAGAGUCAUAGUAAAUAGCUAUGAUUUAUGACGGUACCGACAGAAAAAGCACCGGCUAACUACGUGCCAGCAGCCGCGGUAAUACGUAGGGUGCGAGCGUUAAUCGGAAUUACUGGGCGUAAAGGGUGCGCAGGCGGCCUUGUAAGUCAGAUGUGAAAGCCCCGGGCUUAACCUGGGAAUUGCGUUUGAAACUACAAAGCUAGAGUGCAGCAGAGGGGAGUGGAAUUCCAUGUGUAGCAGUGAAAUGCGUAGAGAUGUGGAAGAACACCGAUGGCGAAGGCAGCUCCCUGGGU
rnacentral:rRNA from 1 species